CGCUUGUUUUGCCACUGAAGGCGUUGCGUCGUUGACACGGAGCUCUCGUGGUGAUGAUGCAGGUGAAGGUCUCUAUGCGACGAGCAGCGAGGCAAUCAGGUCCAGGUGGCGAUAGGCUCACGGGUCUGGGGUGACUCAAUGCUCGAGUCUACCUAAUACAGGUCCUCUCGGUGGUGGAGGGGUCGACGGCAUUGAGGUGCUUGAUAUAGGUCGAACGUUGGUUUCUAUGCAUGCUCAAAAGGAUUCCUCUAUUUGGUGUGAGGUCAAUGGUGGCUCGUCAUAGGACAUGGCUUGCGACGUCCGCAACUUCCUUGGACUUGUGACAGUGGUGUAGUUUGAUAUUCGAUAUAGUUGUUAGGUUAAUGUAAAAAGUUAGUUUUUCAGAUGUUGUGGUUAUAUGCUUGGAUGAUAUGAGUGAAACUAUUGGUUUCUAUGUAACCUUGGUUGGGUUUCAAUAUUUGGUUGACCUAGUGUCUAUGCAUAUUAUUAGUUGGGAACAUUAUGGAUAGUUCACAUUUAGUGUGUAGUGUUUUGUAUGUUUCAUUUCCCUAGAGGGAAUUAUGGUGUAAGGUUUCUAUAUAUUGUUGAUCUAUUAAAUAAACAUAUCCUGGUGCCAAGAA